ensembl:lncRNA
GUCCGUUCUACAGGCUUGUAAUGUAGAUGGUUUACUAUUAUGGAAGUCCAGGUACCAUCUAGCCCUGUUAUCUGUGCAUAUGGCAUAUAUGCGUUCUACUAACCUGUCCAGCAAACAUCUUUUUGUUCUACCAGUGUAAAACACUUUGCACUUUGCACAAUGUGUUGGAGGCUCUUUGAUUCUUUAGCCUAUGUGAUCCUUCCAAAGAUCACAUCAGAUAGAAGCUGUUUGAAUCCAUGAGCUCCUUCAGAAGAACAUCAGCCUGCUAAACUCACAGAUACAGCGGCCAGGGAAGCAGAAGAACAUCAUAUCAAGAAGGCCCUGAGUAAAUGUGGUUAUCCCAGAAGAAGGACAACUGCUGCCUAAGUAAAAACUGAAAAUGCUACGUCCAAAGGAACAGGAUCAGCUUUUUGGGAUUUCCUUACCUGAUUGAGCAUGCAUGAGGACAUUUCACCGGGAGGAGAUUAGAAAUGAGUCGAUCAGAGGGACAGCUCAGGAUGAGCAGACCCUCAACGUUUGGACAUGUGCAGAGGAGGGACAGUGGGUACAAAGGAGGUUGAAGAUGGAACUGCCAGCAAAGGAGAAACGAGGAAGACCAUUCAGGGAUGUGAUGAAGGAGGACAUGAAGGUUGGUGUGACAGAGGAGGAUGCUGGGAUAGGAGGAGAAUGAGGCAGAGGAUUCGCUGUGGUGAUCACUAAAGGGAGCAGCCAGGAGACGAAAAGCAAGAAUGUGUCACUGAAAGAAGGGAAGAAGGACAGCUUUGUCAGGUUUCAUCGGAUUGAGCAUCGAUAGGUGUGACGUUGAGCUCGUUUGUAGUCCAGUUCCACAUCCAACCACACGUUCAGCGUCGACCUUCACUUCUGCUCUGCUGCUGCCAGGAUCCAGACUCCUUCAGGGGAUAUUCUGCUACAGCUCAUGGACCCGCUAUCAUCUUAUAAUGAAAAUCUUACGACCGGGCCUCAAUGCCAAAGGUUUCAGUAACCUUUCUACUAUUUCAAUCACUCUUUAAACCAAUUGUGGGCAUAAAGAUGGUCCAAAUCUGGCACUCCAGCAAAUAAAGUGCUUUAUAAAUAAAGUUGGCUCAGCUUGACUUGGCUAAAUUAGACCCAC